UCUCUCUCUCUCUCUCUCUCUCUUGACAGCUAGGGUUUUAGAACCGAUCAUCUGUUACGAUCCACCAUGUUAACUACCUGGACCAAAGCCCAAGUCCACAUUAGCUAAAUAAUGAUAACUUAGUUUCCAGAAAGAAUCAAUUCAGGAUCAACGUGGAUACACGCUGAGCCCCAAGAGAUUACCACUAGAAUACCACCACUUGGUUCGUUGAACUGAGUUUUGUUAACUGAAUUGAGUUAGGGUGAAUGCAACUAUGGUGACUGAACUUUCCUUCUCAAGGAAUUCAUUCAUCCAACAGGGCAUUCUUAUGCCACAUACGAAUUUAUAAGAUUAUAUCCUAAACUACACUUUGGGUUCCUGAAAAGAAAUAUCUUACCCAACUUGGGCUUCUAUGAGAGUAAAUCACACCCGCAGUAUGUCCCAUGAAAACUUGCUAGUCUAAGUGCUUGUGCAACGCUUUGAUAAUUUCCAAAAAUAUUAUUGAGUUUCAAGCUUCUCAUACUAUCCAAGAAGCCUUCCCAACUUUUGAUUUUCCAAUCGAAACAAGACAUUAUCUGAGAAAAGGAUAGAUGGCUAUGGCAGAGUACCAAGCUUCUAUUGUCGCCAACAACCCAUGAUGCACACUAUAUAUCUUUGUACAAUCGUGUGCAAUCCUCAACACCUGAUCCAUAAUUACAAAGAUGGAGAUGCAACAACCAUUAACCGGGGCAGACACAUUCCAAAUAGCCCAUACUUCUCAACAUAGGACUUUCAGAUGAGAUCGAUCGUAAAAUCAUGAUAUUUUGUGCAAUCGCGUGAUAAUUGAAUUUUGAUCCGUAGAUUAUCUGCAAAAAAAUUGAUAAAAAGUCAAUGUGUCCAAACAGUACAAUGUUUUAGAAUAAUAGUCUCCAACUCUUGUACGAAAAUCAUUUCUGAGAACAUGACAUGAAGAAACUGGUAACGAACUCGUGCCCACUUUACAAAGACACCUCACUAAACUCCAGGCCUGGACCAAAUCUGUGCUCAUAUAUAUAUGUCUCGGUUGUAAUAUACACGGAACCAUGAGUUGUAAGGCUUGUAGCCAAAAUGCUAGAGAACAAAAUUAUCAAUAUGACAUAAGAAUAUGAGCAGUAUUUUAUAUGAAUAAAAUAUCUACAAUAUUUGUCCGCUUUGUCGGUCUAAGUAUACUAAUUGUAUCCACUGACGACGUUUGUGCGAGUUUAUUUCAUAUUCAUGAAUCUCCCAGUUGACAUUAGCCAAAGGACAUUUUCCGUUAGGACAAUCCAAGUAAUGCACAUGUAUAUUCGUCCCAUAUCUAUCGUGAUAACAACAUAUUUAUAAUAUUAUACAUAGACAUGCAUCCAAAAGAACCGUAAUAACAUAACUCAUACGUGAAUAACCAAAGUUAUAGCAACACAAAACACCAUUCCUCCCGCUGCUUGUAUACCCAAUGAAAGCCAUACCAACGAAGAAAAGUGAAACAAAAAAAAUCUAAAACUUGAAAACUAUUGAGUUCUCCGGCCCCAUGAGAAACUCAAAUUAACCCAAA